CUUCUGGAAGAAUCUAGUAAAGAGAUGAUCUUUAUAUAACCAAAAGCUAAGGACAAUGGCAUAAAGAAUUACCUAAUUGGCACAAAGUCACAGAAAGCUUGGCUUUGCCAUCUGCACAGCACCUGAAGUUGAAUGGAUGCCCUUUACUGCAAUACCACCAAAGCCGUUCCACUGAAAUCAUUUUAAAGACUCAGCCAUCUCAUGUCAAAUGGUACAGACACCACCAUCUGCACAUCCACUGUCUACUGCACUCAAGCCCAUCAAUCUGUAUUGACCGUUUUGAUAGUCAUCCAGUUAAGCAACUGCUUCUAUUUUUCAAGUGAGCCAUGCAGGGAUGUAGAAUAUGUCAGCUAUGUUUUUAUCCGUAAAUAUGGUAUAAAAGUUGUGAUCCAAAGUGAGAGAACCUGGUAGGUUAAACAUAAUUUGUGAGCUUUUAAAUACAAGCAUUGCAAAUAAUGUAUCUUUUCUAAUUGUUCUGCUAGGGAAACAAGAUUUAAAAAGACAUCAACUGUUAAUAGAUUGUUUUCACUAAA